GACAGAGGGGGCAAGCGUUGCUCGGAAUUACUGGGCGUAAAGAGCUCGUAGGUGGUUUGUCGCGUUGUUCGUGAAAACUCACAGCUCAACUGUGGGCGUGCGGGCGAUACGGGCAGACUUGAGUACUGCAGGGGGAGACUGGAAUUCCUGGUGUAGCGGUGGAAUGCGCAGAUAUCAGGAGGGAACACCGGUGGGCGAAAGGCGGGUCUCUGGGCAGUAACUGACGCUGGAGGAGCGAAAAGCGUGGGGAGCGAACAGG
rnacentral:rRNA from 1 species